AGCAGCCGCCGCGGUAAUACGUAGGUCCCGAGCGUUGUCCGGAUUUAUUGGGCGUAAAGGGAGCGCAGGCGGUUUAGUAAGUCUGAAGUUAAAGGCAUUGGCUCAACCAAUGUAUGCUUUGGAAACUGUUAGACUUGAGUGCAGAAGGGGAGAGUGGAAUUCCAUGUGUAGCGGUGAAAUGCGUAGAUAUAUGGAGGAACACCGGUGGCGAAAGCGGCUCUCUGGUCUGUCACUGACGCUGAGGCUCGAAAGCGUGGGUAGCGAACAGGAUUAGAUACCCCAGUAGUCCCUGUCUCUUAUACA
rnacentral:rRNA from 1 species